rnacentral:tRNA from 1 species
GGAGAUUUAGCUCAGUGGUAGAGCACUUGCCUAGCAAGCGCAAGGCCCUGGGUUCAGUUCCCAGCUCCG